AGCGGGGCUCUGGGCUCCUGCCCCGGCAGUGCCCGGGCUGCCCCUGGGGGCACGGGCUGCCACAUCUGCCCUCCCGAGGAGCCUGUCCCCGUGUCUGGGAUGUGCCGGCACUGCCGCGGCUCCCAGCUCGCUGUCCCCGCACCAGGGUGGCAGACAGGCACAGCACCGCUCCCGCUGCCGGCUGCACUCUGUGCCCCGGCCACUUCUGCUGCUCCUUCCUCUAUCCAGUCCCCAAAUCAGCGCUUUGGCCACGAGGAUCCUGCGGGCGCUGUGCCCAAGCUCCGAGGGUUUUCCAGGCUGGCCUGGCUCUGCAGCUCCUCGGAGGGGCUGGAAGCAGCGGUGUGGAUUUUCCCCUGCUGGGGCAGCAGAGCAGAAGGGAUGCGCUGUGCCUGCCUGGCUGAUAACGAGGAACAAACUCAAUUAACCACCACCAAACCCCUCUUCUUGCCGUGGGACACGGAGUCCUGAGCACCUCAAACCACACCCAGCCCUUCAGACCACGGCAAUAAUGGGAUAUUGCUGCAGGGAGAUGGCUGAGGAAUGCUCAGGGAAAAGCUGAUUUUGGAGAGGCUGGAAGCACGAGGCACCUCCCGGGAUCGGCCCCAGCCACUGCUGUCCCUCAUUCUUGUCCAGACACUGAUAUUCCCGAGCUCUUCCCGCCCUCCAAGUCCUCUGCAAGUGUUAAGUAUGUUUUUGCAUCCAGCAAAUGGAACAAUAACAGAGGACUUAAUUUUCCCAUCUGUCAACUCAUCCCGAACAAAUUAUGCCAUCUGUCCUGUCCCUCCUGCUGUCCCAACUUCACCCAGCUGGCCGGCUCAGAUAAGGGCUCCAGGGGCAGAUAAGAAGUUCUUUCCCUUCUCCUCCCUCUUCUGGAGCAGCAGCAAAUGGUGAGGCUGAGCUUUCACAGCCCUUAAACACCCAGGAAAGUGAAACUAAUCCCAGGCUCUGGGAAAAACAUUUGUCAACGCAAAUCCCUGGUGAGAGAAGUGAAAUGAUAGCAAAAAACAAGUUGGUUGCCCUUCUCCUCAGCAGCCCUGAGCCACCCUUGAGGUUCCAGGGCAGGGUCACCUGGAGCAAAAGCCAGUUCUGUGAUGUGGCAAAGACACACCCUGCAGGACACAGGUUGGAAUUGGGCUCCGGAGCCGUUUCCAUGGGAAAACAAACGGGUUUCUGUGACAGCGCAGAGCAAGUGCCGGCUCCGGGCUAGGAACUCUCUCCAGCCCGUGCUAAGUGCAGGAUGUUCCUCACCAGGUCCCUCCAAGCCAGCAGCUGCUUUUCCCACCCUUCCCCAUCAGGCAGCUUGAGUGCAAGAGGUGCUCUGGCUCGCAGCCAGCCGGGAGGCGUCGGGACAGAAUCCAUGUUUGCAAACCCCUCUGAUGGCAGCAGCCAGGCUCAGCCCCGUGCCUGCCCAUAAAUCCAGGACACAAAGAAACGCCGGUAACAAAACGCCUGUAACUCAGCAAAGCUCCUGGAAGGAGCCCAAAAGCCGUGUCUAAUGCUAAUAAUAAGCGUAUUUCCCAAAGGUAACAUUUGAUUUCUCUCCAAAACGAAACAUUUUUGAAGCUCUGCCUGGUUGGGGUUGUAUGGGAGAUUAACUGGGGCGCUUUAAUGUGUGGCUGAGUUUGUAAAGCCUUCAGCCAGCUCUGGAGGAGCUGCCCCAUCCUGACAAGACCCAAAACCACUUCCCAGAUAAUGUGGUGUUUUCCACAGCGAGCCUGGAAAAAUCCAGGGAAGGGCUUUGGGUUUGUGGCACGCACAUCUGGCGAGCCAGAGCCCGGAGCGGCGAGCGCAGAGCGCGCUGACCAGAAAUAUUUGUGCUGAGCAUCGAUGGGCUGCCCAAAAUGACCUCCAGAGCCCGUGCAGAGCUCCGAGGGUUUCCAAAAAAUCCAUCCCAGCCCAUUAUGUGCUGGAAUGCAUCCGGGUGCACCAUGCCUGGAGCCUCUGCUAGGGAGAGCGAUGGAAACGGGUGGGAUUUGGGAUAAAUCAGGCUGGUGGAGGGGGGAAAUCACGACAGAAUGCUGUCCCGUUUUGUUUCUUUAUCUUGAUUUCUUUAUCUUGGUUUCUUUAUCUUGGUUUCUGUAUCUUUCCAGCUGGGGGAGGGGAGCCCCAGAGGGAGCGGGCCCUGGCUGCCCCGCCAGCGUUCGCAAUCAAUGCAGAUAAUGCACUUGGAAGUGCUCUCUCCUCUACUGGUUUUCCGUAAAUCGCUGGGCACAGCUUCCCAGUGAUAAUGGCAGAGCUGCGCCUGUGCCAGCACGGAUUGAGCUCCAAGUGAAAAAGGAGAGUGCAGUUCCUUGGGAUGGUUUAGUCUGGGAGCUCCCCCCGGGGUUCCACCUCUUCUUCCCGUGGAACAGAGCGUUCCUCCCUUCCCUGGAGUUUAUCCCAAAGACACAACAAACCCAAACAUCCUCCUCCUCCUCCUCCUCCUGGAAGUGCUGCUCAGGGAGGUCUGGAGUCCCCAGCCCUGGAUGCUGAGCUUCCAGAAUCCUGGAAUGGUUGGGCUUGGAAGGCACCUCAAAGCUCUCCACAUCGUCCCAGGUGUCCAAGGAAUUCUGGAUGUGGCACUCAGGUGACAAGGUGGGGAUGGGGCACAGCCUGGACUCCAUCACCUCAGAGGGCUUUUCCACCCUCAGGGAUUCUGGAAUUCCUGCUCACCAACCAGAGCCUUUUUCCAAGCACUGCUCUUCCCUCCCCCUUGCCAUCCUGAUUUUCCACCCUGGUGGUGGGUGAUACAUUCCCAGAACAGCUGGAUUAGGCCUAGGGCCCAAUUAGCCUCAUUGAAAAUAGAAAAUAAUAAUUAAUCAUUAAAAAUACAAACUAAUAAUUCCUUGUUCCAAGUUUUCCAUGGACAGCCCUGCCAGGGAUUGAGUGCCUGAUGCUGGAGUGGGGCUCAGCUUUUCUUUUAAUGCUAUUUUUUAACUGGAGGCAGCUCUGUUGAUGUGAUUUGGGAGGGAAAUUUUUGGGACUCAGUGACCUUGGAGGGCUUGUCCAACCUCAGGGAUUCUGGAAUUCCUGCUCACCAACCAGAGCCUUUUUCCAAGCACUGCUCUUCCCUCCCCCUUUGCCAUCCUGAUUUUUCACCCUGGUUGUGGUGGAUUAGGCUUAGGGUCCAAUUAACUAGAUUAAAAUAGGUCUAGUGAUUUAGUUUAAAAGUAUAAACUAACAAUUCCUCAUUAAAAAUAUCAACAAAUAGUUCCUCAUCCAGAAUAUAAAUUAAGAAUUCCUCGUUCCAAGUUGGUUUUCCAUGGACAGCCCCAGCAGGGAUUGAGUGCCUGAUUCUGGAGCUGGGGUUCAGCUUUUUUUUAAAUACUGUUUUUUUAACUGGAGGCAGCUCUAUUUGUCCAUGCUUUGGGAGAGUAAUUUAAUGGGUAAAUAUAAUCUUUAUUAAUAUUUUCUUUGUUAACUCAUUGAUGUUGGUAAAGAGCUUUGAAGAUGAAAGCGCUGUGUGCAAUAAAUAUUAACGUUAUUCCAACUUAUUUGAAUGUUGCCAGCAUUCCAGCUCCAACAUCUUUCAUCCAAGAAUCUCAAAGUGCUUUUCCAAAUGUUAAUUAAUUUCCUCUCAGCAGUCCAGGGAGACACCUUUUAUCAGCAGCAUCUUCCUUUCCCCAAGGAGUUGUUCCGAGCGCAUUUUACCCCGCGGAUUUGGGCAAGCUCAGGGAAUGUGGCAGGAGUUUUUUGGGAUUGAUCCAAGAAUUCCAGCCUCCCUCCCGUUCUCCCAGCCCUGCUGCCUGACAGCAUUCCCUUCCUGGGAGUGGGGUGUGACUCUCAGCUGCUUUAUUGGUGGCUCUUGAAAGGAAAAACCCGGGCAAGGAUCACAAGCCCCACCCAGGGCAGGGGAGGAAAUGAAACUCUUCCAGAUCAGGAUGAUCCCAAUCAGAAAUCCACAAAUUUUCAGGAUUUUCUGUGUGCAGGAGGAAAUCUUGAUGAGCAGUUGAGUCAGAAUGUUGUAAUUCUUGCUUAAAAGAUGAUUAAAAUGCAAGUAUUUUCUGAAAUGCAGCAUAGGUGAAGAUCUGAGGUGAAGGAAAUGAAACUCUUCCAAAUCAGGAUGAUCCUGCACAGGGGAGGAUCUGAGCUAAAGGAAAUGAAAAUCUUCCAAAUCAGGAUGAUCACAGCCAGAAAUCCACAAAUUUUCAGGAUUUUUGAUCUGCAGGAGGAAAUCUUGAUGGGAUGUUGAGUCAGGAUCUCAUAAUUCUUAUUUGAAAGACCAUUAAAGUGGAAAUAUUUUCUCAGGUGAAGAUCUGAGCUGAAGGAAAUGGAACUCUUCCAAAUCAGGAUGAUCCCAGUAAGAGAUCCACCAAUUUCCAGGAUUUUAAUGUUUCAUUUUUUGAUUUUUCAGGAGGAAAUCUUGAUGGGGUGUUGAGUAGAAUCUCAUAAUAAUUCCUAUUUAAGGGAAGAUUAAAAUGGAAGUAUUUUCUCAAAUGCAGCACAGGUGAAGAAGAUCUGAGCUGAAGGAAAUGAAAUUCUUCCAAAUCAGGAUGAUCACAGCCAGGAAUCCAUGAAUUUUCAGGAUUUUUGAUCUGCAGGAGGAAAUCUUGAUGGGAUGUUGAGUCAGGAUCUCGUAAUUCUUAUUUGAAAGACCAUUAAAGUGGAAAUAUUUUCUCAGGAGGAAAUCUUCAUGGGAUGUUGAGUCAGGAUCUUGCAGUUCUUACUUGAAAGACCAUUAAAAUGGAAAUAUUUUCUGAAAUGCAGCACAGAUGGAGAUCUGAGCUGCAGGGGAAAUGCUGCAGGUGAAACUUCUCCUGAAAAACCCUCCCCAGUCCAGAGGUGAGUGAGUGAUGAGCCAAAAAAAGAGGAUUUCGAGACAACGUGACUCCAGCAGGCCAUGAGAACAAUGAGAAGUUCAAAAAUAGCACUAUUGACUGGUGGAAAAACAACAUACAUAUAAUUUUCAGGUAAUUACUGCAGCAUAAUUAGCUGGGUUGUUUUCACAUGAGCCAUCUGAAAUGAACUCUGCUCGCUGCUGGAGCUCAGCUUCAUUUGCAGCAUUCCCAUGACUCAGGGGAUGCUGGAAGGAGAGGGAUUGGGGGAAAAAUGAAGAUUUUUUUCCUAGCUGAGCCCAUCUCGGGGCACAGCCUGGCUGCUGCUGCUUUAUCCUGAGUUUAUCCUGCUUUUUAGGAAAAAAAAAAAAAGGAAAUUUGGAGCAAAAUCUACUCUAUAGGAAUUCCAUGUGUGGGCCAUAAUGGGAAUUAUAGGACAGGAAAGAGACUCGAAUUGGAACAGGCCUUUUUCUAGAUCACUCUCUGGGAAAAAUGAUUAUAAAUUCAGAUUACAUGAAAAUAUCAGUAUUUUACAUGCACUGUGUGAGUGGAGGGAUGGGGGAACAUCCUAAGGACUCGCUCCCCAAGUUCUGGAAAAUGUGAAUUAUUUUUAUUUCCUUGUUUUAUUGCCACAGGCUUUGCUUAUGAAGAAUCAUUUACUAUCUGUAGAAACAACUGACUUAAGCACUGGGGCCUUAAAAAACCACUUUUAAUUGGAAUGAGAGAGUUCCUCCCAGUGAAACCCUGGGUUUGUUGAUGCUGGAAGUCUGGAGAGUGCAAUUAAAAGCCUCCCUCACCUCUGUGAUGAUAUUUUGGAAAUAAAUGCAGUUUUCUGGAGUUCUUCUCCUCAGGUUUGAGUAGUUUUUGGCCAAUUUGGAGCUUCUGGAGGAUCUGAUGUUUUAAGUCUUGCCUGGCUUUCAAUUUCUCAGCUCCCCGGGACCUGCUGUGGUUGCUUUUUUACUCUUUCUUCUCGUGUUGCAUCCACAAAUUAUGAAAAUGGGUGCUAAUGACCCAAAAAAAAAAAAAAUCCCAAUUGUGAUUCAUGGAAAUGGAAUUUUGUUGACAAAAAAAAGGGGAUUUAACUCGGCCAAAGGAAAUGCUUUUCCAAGUGGAGAUGAAUAUCUCAGGAAUGACCAUUUCUUCUCAGAGACAGAACUAUUCCAGUUUUAAUUUCAGAAAAAAAAAUAAAUAGAAUAAUUCAAAUAAAAGCCCGGAGAAAAGCAAGCAGACCCACCCACCAGGCGUGGUUUUUGCAGGGAAAGAAGUGCCAGAAGUGAAUUUUAGGUGAGUGAAACGCAGGUGAGGAGGAUGCUGGGGCAGGAAACGCUGUCACCUCCCCUGGGCUGGCCACACCUCGUCCCAGUGCAGCCCAGCAGCUCCCCCAGUCCCGGAGUGCUUCGGCUUGGGAGGCACCUCCGGGCUCCCCUACUCCUCCUCGUCAUCCCAGCUGUCCCCAGGUCUGCUCCCGAGGUCCCCAGGUGUCCCCAAACCCUGUCCAGGUGGCCCUUAGACCCCUCAACCCCAUCCCCAAUGUCCCCAGGUGUCCCCAGCCCUCAUCCUGGUGUCCCCAGGAUUCCCCAGGGCUGGUUUUGAUAGCCCAGGCGUCCCCAGCCCUGUCCCCAGAGUGUCCUCAGGUGCCCCAGGUCUUGGUCUUGGUGUCCCUUAGACCCCCUCAUCCCCAUCCCCAAUGUCCCCAAGUGUCCCCAGCCCUGGUCCUGGUGUCCCUAACCCUGUCCCCGAUGUCCCCAACCCUGUCCCUGAUGUCCCCAGGUGUCCCCACUGCUGUCCACAAUGUCCCCAGCCCUGUCCAGGUGUCCCCCAACCUGUCCCCAGGUGUCCCUAACCCUGUCCCUGAUGUCCCUCAGUGUCCCCAGCCCUGUUCCUGGUGACCCCACGUGUCCCCAGUCCUGGUCCUGGUGUCUCUGGGUGUCCCCAACCCUGUUCCAAACAUUCCCAGGUGUUCCUCACCCUGUUCCCGAUGU